rnacentral:rRNA from 1 species
GACGAACGCUGGCGGCGUGCUUAACACAUGCAAGUCGAACGGUAAGGCCUUGCGCUUGUAGGGUGCUCGAGUGGCGAACGGGUGAGUAACACGUGAGUAACCUGUCCCUGACUUUGGGAUAACUUCAGGAAACAGGGGCGAAUACCGGAUAGGAGCUCCUGCUGCGUGGGGGGGGUAGGAGAGAUUCGGCGGUUGGGGAUGGACUCGCGGCUCUUCAGCUUGUUGGUGGGGUAGUGGCUUAACAGGGCUUUGACGGGUAGCCGGCCUGGGAGGGUGACCGGCCACAUUGGGCCUGGGGUGCGGCCCAGACUCCUACGGGAGGCAGCAGUGGAGGAUAUUGCACGAUGGGCGGAGGCCUGAUGCAGCAACGCCGCGUGCUGGAUGACGGCCUUCGGGUUGUAACCCGCUUUCGCCUGUGACGAAGCGUGAGUGACGGUAAUGGGUAAGGAAGCACCGGCUAACUACGUG